CUAGAACCCUCAGUUUGUUUUUCAGAGUCCAUCAUCUCUCAUGGUUCGUCUCCCCCUCUGACAUACUCCCCUUUUCUUCCUUGAGUGACAGUGUCUUAGUAGGAAAGACCUGUCAGGUGUCUCCACGUAGACGGUGGGCCCGGGUCUGGCUGCAAAGCACUUGAACCUGUGUCAGCAUCUGGCCCCACAGACUUCCGCCCGCCCCUUCCUGAGGCCACUGGGCCAAGUCACCUUCCCUAGCAAUUUCCUUACCGCUCUCCCUGGAGAUCUUUCUGAUACCUCUGAAAGUAAUUAGAAACAGCAGCUUCCCCUAGAAAUGUGUUCCAAAGCCCUGGAAGAGGAGACGGGAACCCCGAUGGGGCUAUGAUGCCAAAGUCCCUAAAAGACUAAGGCUCAGCCCACACGGGGAUCGAGAAGCAUUGCAGGCCCCACUCAUCUUGGCCGGGGGGCAGGAGAAACAGAAGCAGAAGCAGUCGUGAGGAGCAGGGUGGGGGAGCUACCAGAAGACUGUGUGCAAGCGCCUGCAGUAGGAAACUGAGGCCACCCCACCCUCACUGCAUUCCUCAGGCUCUCCGGGAAAGCCGAACCACCGGCAUGUGCAGAAAUGGAUACAAAGAGAUUUACUUCAGGACUUGAUUCACCCUAUUGUGGAGAAUCAAGGAUAGGCCAGCAGUCUGGAGACCCAGAGUAGAGUUGAUGUUGCAGCUCCAGUCCAGAGCAUUUGAAAUUCCUUCUUGAAGUAGCUGGAGCUCCAACCAUCUUUCAGGAAUCGCCAUUGUCCAAGCAGCGUUUGACUCCUGAUGCAAGAAUUUAAGAAAUGGAUAAAGAAGCUGAGAAGGACAACAACGAGAUAAAAAGACCAGAUGACUAAAAAAAUCAAUUCUGACUUGGACAUUCUCUAAUUCCUUAAGAUUCUACAGAGGAGG